GGGAGAACAAGGGCGGAUCCCAUUCGAAUGUUCUGAUUCUCGAAUUCUCAUGAUAUACCAACGCAAUUAACAAAAGAAAUCCAUAAUCGUAGUCGAAGCAAAGAUGAGCUCUUUGAAUUCCAGAUUUCUUCUACUGGAUUUACAGAAUUCAUGGAAUUCCAUUAACAGGAUUCCAAUUUCUGCAAUUCUGACUUCGUCAUUUCAUCGAGCAGGUGAUGUGCAUAAAAGAAUCACUUCAUUACCAAUUCGGUCUUCAGCUUCAAUUCGUAGACCCAGUGAUAGAUUUUCGAUUAUUAAUAAUGAGUUUUCAUCAAAUUCUUCUUCUAAUCAAUUGGUCUCGUCAUCAAAUGCAAAUGCUUCAGAACUUGAGUUGUUUCUUGAAUUGGUUCCUAGUAGGAUGAGAAAAGGUUUGUUUGAGCAUAAGGAGAUUGAGAAAUUGAUUGAAGUUGUAAUGGAUUUAGGGAGGAAACCAAUUGCUAGGUUUCCAACUGGAGAUUGGGUUAUCUCUAAAGAUCCAGUUAAGCUGGAGGAUCUACAACAUGCAAUUUCUAAGGUUGGUGAUUUUUCGGAUGACAACCGUUCUGGUAUUGAUCGUUCUUUACACCGAAUUAGUGCUAUCCGAAACCGUAAAAUGCAAAUAAUUGGCCUUACUUGUCGAGUCGGAAGAGCUGUAUCUGGAAGUGCAGGGAUGAUACGUGAUUUGAUUCAAGAAGGAAGAUCGCUCUUGGUUAUUGGCCCCCCUGGUGUUGGCAAAACAACCUUGAUCAGGGAGAUUGCGAGAACAUUAGCUGAUGAACACAUGAAGCGGGUCGUCAUUAUAGAUACAUCGAAUGAAAUUGGAGGUGAUGGAGAUGUUCCUCAUUCAGGCAUAGGUCGUGCAAGGAGAAUGCAAGUUCCAAAUGUUAAUAUGCAACAUAACGUUAUGAUUGAGGCGGUUGAAAAUCACAUGCCAGAAACCAUUAUCAUUGAUGAGAUAGGUACAGAACUUGAAGCAUUGGCUGCCAGUACAAUUGCUCAAAGAGGGGUGCAGCUGGUUGGGACAGCACAUGGAAUGACAAUUGAUAAUAUAGUAAAGAAUCCUUCACUCCAGAUGCUUGUUGGGGGUAUAGAGAGUGUCACUCUGGGUGAUGAAGAAGCGAAGAAAAGAAAAGUGCAGAAAACUAUUCUUGAAAGGAAAGGACCCCCAACCUUUACCUGUGCCCUUGAGAUGGCAACGAAGACUGAAUAUCGUGUUCACUAUCGAUUAGAUGCUACAGUAGAUGCUAUUUUAGCAGGAAAAUCUCCGCUGUUUGAAGUCCGUCGCAUGGAUACAAAAACUACGGAUCCUGUGGUCACCCCUGUGACCCAUACGAAGCAUGAUUCAGUAGAGCCAGAGAUUAGUACAACUGAAAGUAAUAAUACUGAAACACCAUUAUAUGAAGUCCGUCACAUGGAUACUAAAACCAGAGGUCCUGUGAUCUCAACUACUGAAGAUGUUACAGAGUAUCCUGUCCGAAGUUCCAAAAAUGCUGAUAGGUUCAUGAGCAAGAGGUUGCCAGUAUCUGUGUACACGUACAAGAUAUUGGAGGCUGAUCUGCUACAAGUAGCCAAAGUGAUGGGGCUUGAAGAUGUCAUAGACGUUUCUGAUGAUAUUGGUGUGGCAGAUGCAAUCCUAGCAUCAAGUUCUGAACUGAAGCAAAAUCCCUGGAUCCGAGGUGUAGCUAAAUUUCAUCAGUUGCCUGUAUUUGUUAUCAAGUCAAAUACCAUGGCCCAGAUGGUCAAGGCAGUUCGCAUGAUUCUUGGAAUGGAGUCAUUUGGUUCUACAUUGGAUCGUCCACUCAACCAUUCCACAAUAGACAUUGAAAUUGAAGAAGAUGCACCGAUAAGGAAGCCUUCGUUGGAGGAGAUUGAUGCCUUGGAGGAGGUACGACUUGCAAUUGAAUACAUUGUGAUUCCUGGUGGAGAGGCAGUUGAGCUACUUCCAAGACGUUCAGAUAUAAUUGCUAGACAGAUGGAACUAGUAGAAAGCUAUCAACUAGCUGCAGAAAAAUCGGGCAGCGAAUCAAACCCACGGUUACAGAUUCUUCCACUAAGGUUAAGCAAGAAGAAAUCUGCUGUUAAAUACUCUAAACCUAGUAAUAGCAGUUCAAGUACAAAAAAAGAAGACACAUUAGGUUAUGAUUCACUCAGUGGUAGCAGUCGAGGUUCAAGUGUUGCUCGGCUACCCCUUCUACCCGAGUAACUAAUAAAUCACACAGUACAAAACAGAAAAAUGUACAUCAACUAUUGGUUGAUUCGUGUAUUAUUUCAUGUACAGUCAUGUAAAAGUUCAGUUUUCCAGCUUCAUUCAUGAGCUAUUGCUGCUUGGUCGGCCAUGUUUCAAUCGGUUUGUGUUUUGGGCUUUGCUGUCUCUCUGUUUCUAGUGGCUUUUUGUGACCCUUAGUUUGCGCGAUUGCUUAUAGUUGGACUAUGAUGCAGUUAGACUGUUAAGAGUCAUGAAGUAAACCUCUGGCUCUGAGUCGUUUUCCACCCUCCAGCUUUAUAUAAGUCUUCACAGCUAAGACACAAAAACUUCAGUAUAUCUGCAUUUGAUGACGAGAAAAGAAAGAUCUUUAUAGACGUCACUACUGUUUUCUUCUU